GACGAACGCUGGCGGCGUGCUUAACACAUGCAAGUGGAGCGACGAACCAGGGCUUGCCCUGGGGCAGAGCCGCGAACGGGUGAGUAACACGUGGGUAACGUGCCCCGAUGACUGGGACAACCCGGGGAAACCCGGGCUAAUACCGGAUAUGCCCCCUGACAUCUGUCAGGUGUGUAAAGGAAGCUUCGGCCUCCGCAUCGGGAUCGGCCCGCGGCGCAUUAGCUUGUUGGUGGGGUAACGGCCUACCAAGGCAACGAUGCGUAGCUGGUCUGGGAGGACGAUCAGCCACACUGGGACUGAGACACGGCCCAGACUCCUACGGGAGGCAGCAGUGGGGAAUCUUGCACAAUGCGCGAAAGCGUGAUGCAGCAACGCCGCGUGCGGGAAGACGGCCUUCGGGUUGUAAACCGCUUUCAGUUGGGACGAAGGUCGGCGCGUUAAUAGCGGGUCCGACUGACGGUACCUUCACAAGAAGCUCCGGCUAACUACGUGCCAGCAGCCGCCGUAAAAC
rnacentral:rRNA from 1 species